UGGGGAAUAUUGGACAAUGGGCGAAAGCCUGAUCCAGCCAUGCCGCGUGAGUGACGAAGGCCUUAGGGUUGUAAAACUCUUUCGUCGGGGACGAUAAUGACGGUACCCGAAGAAGAAGCUCCGGCUAACUCCGUGCCAGCAGCCGCGGUAAUACAGAGGGUGCGAGCGUUAAUCGGAAUUACUGGGCGUAAAGCGCACGUAGGUGGCGACGUAAGUCGGGUGUGAAAGCCCCGGGCUCAACCUGGGAACCGCAUUCGAGACUGUGUUGCUGGAGUACGGAAGAGGAGGGCGGAAUUCCCGGUGUAGCGGUGAAAUGCGUAGAUAUCGGGAGGAACAUCAGUGGCGAAGGCGGCCCUCUGGUCCAGUACUGACACUCAAGUGCGAAAGCGUGGGGAGCAAACAGGAUUAGAUACCCAAGUAGUCCCUGAGCGGGCUGGCAAGGCGCAU
rnacentral:rRNA from 1 species